rfam:Danio rerio chromosome 4, GRCz11 reference primary assembly.
GCAUUGGUGGUUUAGUGGUAGAAUUCUCGCCUGCCUCGCAGGACACCCAGGUGCGAUUCCCGGCCAAUGCA